CGACCGCUGGCGGCGUGCUUACCACAUGCAAGUCGACCGGAAAGGCCCUGCUUUUGUGGGGUGCUCGAGUGGCGAACGGGUGAGUAACACGUGAGUAACCUGCCCUUGACUUUGGGAUAACUUCAGGAAACUGGGGCUAAUACCGGAUAGGAGCUCCUGCUGCAUGGUGGGGGUUGGAAAGUUUCGGCGGUUGGGGAUGGACUCGCGGCUUAUCAGCUUGUUGGUGGGGUAGUGGCUUACCAAGGCUUUGACGGGUAGCCGGCCUGAGAGGGUGGCCGGCCACAUUGGGACUGAGAUACGGCCCAGACUCCUACGGGAGGCAGCAGUGGGGAAUAUUGCACAAUGGGCGGAAGCCUGAUGCAGCAACGCCGCGUGCGGGAUGACGGCCUUCGGGUUGUAAACCGCUUUCGCCUGUGACGAAGCGUGAGUGACGGUAAUGGGUAAAGAAGCACCGGCUAACUACGUG
rnacentral:rRNA from 1 species